rnacentral:rRNA from 1 species
GAUGAACGCUGGCGGCGUGCCUAAUACAUGCAAGUCGAGCGAACAGAUAAGGAGCUUGCUCCUUUGACGUUAGCGGCGGACGGGUGAGUAACACGUGGGUAACCUACCUAUAAGACUGGAAUAACUCCGGGAAACCGGGGCUAAUGCCGGAUAACAUUUAGAACCGCAUGGUUCUAAAGUGAAAGAUGGUUUUGCUAUCACUUAUGGAUGGACCCGCGCCGUAUUAGCUAGUUGGUAAGGUAACGGCUUACCAAGGCAACGAUACGUAGCCGACCUGAGAGGGUGAUCGGCCACACUGGAACUGAGACACGGUCCAGACUCCUACGGGAGGCAGCAGUAGGGAAUCUUCCGCAAUGGGCGAAAGCCUGACGGAGCAACGCCGCGUGAGUGAUGAAGGUCUUCGGAUCGUAAAACUCUGUUAUUAGGGAAGAACAAAUGUGUAAGUAACUGUGCACGUCUUGACGGUACCUAAUCAGAAAGCCACGGCUAACUACGUG